UGCUGGAUGCUGACGAGCGGCGGACGGGUGAGUAACGCAUAGGAAUCUACCCGGUAGUGGGGGAUAACCUGGGGAAACCCAGGCUAAUACCGCAUACGUCCUACGGGAGAAAGGGGGCUUAGGCUCCCGCUAUUGGAUGAGCCUAUGCCGGAUUAGCUGGUUGGUGAGGUAAUGGCUCACCAAGGCGACGAUCCGUAGCUGGUCUGAGAGGAUGAUCAGCCACAUCGGGACUGAGACACGGCCCGAACUCCUACGGGAGGCAGCAGUGGGGAAUAUUGGACAAUGGGGGCAACCCUGAUCCAGCCAUGCCGCGUGUGUGAAGAAGGCCCUCGGGUUGUAAAGCACUUUCAGCGAGGAAGAACGCCUGUCGGUUAAUACCCGGCAGGAAAGACAUCACUCGCAGAAGAAGCACCGGCUAACUCCGUGCCAGCAGCCGCGGUAAUACGGAGGGUGCAAGCGUUAAUCGGAAUUACUGGGCGUAAAGCGCGCGUAGGUGGCUUGAUAAGCCGGUUGUGAAAGCCCCGGGCUCAACCUGGGAACGGCAUCCGGAACUAUUAGGCUAGAGUGCAGGAGAGGAAGGUAGAAUUCCCGGUGUAGCG
rnacentral:rRNA from 1 species